rnacentral:lncRNA from 10 species
AGCUCAACGCUUUUCCAGCAUUCCACCAAAGGAAAGGCAAUAGUGGAAUAAAUACAAUCAUGCCAGAACAGUUUGUUUGCUUGGAAUCGCUGAGACACAAAACAUCGUGUCCAUUUCACAGGAAAGGGGAGGAAUCCGAGGAGUACAGUCACUGUGAAUCAAUGAGAAGCAGGAAGGAAGAGAAGCUCCUUCUAGGAAGUUCAUUUACAAUUUUUUUUUUUUUUUGGAUAAAGAUAUAGGGCAAGAAAGUGCCUCAUGAAAGAGAAACUGAUAAAUUUCCAGACCCUGGCCACAAAGUACAGCACAGCCAGGAGAGAUGGCUCUCGGGGGACACGCCCUAGGGAAGUGGACAUUCUGUGACAGUAGCCAGCUUCUGAAGAAGAGGCUCAGAGCAAAUGUGCCACGAGGAUUGUCUGGUAACACAAGGUGCACGCUUUCCAGUAAACCUUUCUAUCGUAAAACCUGGGU